rnacentral:rRNA from 1 species
UAGCCCGAAAGGGACGCUAAUACCGCAUGACAUCCUGCCUUUUAAGAGGUGGAGAUUAAAGCCGGGGAUCGCAAGACCUGGCACUUGAAGAGGGGCCCGCGCCUGAUUAGCUAGUUGGUGGGGUAAUGGCUCACCAAGGCAACGAUCAGUAUCCGGCCUGAGAGGGCGGACGGACACACUGGGACUGAGACACGGCCCAG